GCCCAAAUGAAGAAUGAAGAGGAUCCCUAGAAAGGACCAGGAGCUACAUCGAAACCCAAGAAGGGUCUGGCAUUGAAAUUAGGAUGAGAAGCAUCACCAACAUGAAUUGUGUCCUUCAAUUUGUGAAACCCAUUCUUGAAAACACCAAAUCCAAACAGCAAACCGAUCAAGAUCACCACAAGAAUCACGCAAGUGCAGAGCAUACACAUCCUACCACCGCAGCACAUCUUGUUCGAUUUCUUGGACUAGUUUGAAGCAGAUUUGAACGAGUAAUAUAGUGAGGGUUGAGCACUGUGAUCUGAAAAGGCGUGAAAGGAAAGAGUAGGUUUUGGAGUUGGGAGGGGUAUCUGAAUCAAGGAAGGAAA
rnacentral:misc_RNA from 1 species